rnacentral:rRNA from 1 species
UAGGGAAUCUUCCGCAAUGGGCGAAAGCCUGACGGAGCAACGCCGCGUGAGUGAUGAAGGUCUUCGGAUCGUAAAACUCUGUUAUUAGGGAAGAACAAAUGUGUAAGUAACUAUGCACGUCUUGACGGUACCUAAUCAGAAAGCCACGGCUAACUACGUGCCAGCAGCCGCGGUAAUACGUAGGUGGCAAGCGUUAUCCGGAAUUAUUGGGCGUAAAGCGCGCGUAGGCGGUUUUUUAAGUCUGAUGUGAAAGCCCACGGCUCAACCGUGGAGGGUCAUUGGAAACUGGAAAACUUGAGUGCAGAAGAGGAAAGUGGAAUUCCAUGUGUAGCGGUGAAAUGCGCAGAGAUAUGGAGAAACACCAGUGGCGAAGGCGACUUUCUGGUCUGUAACUGACGCUGAUGUGCGAAAGCGUGGGGAUCAAACAGG